UACGAACUGUGCAAACGUUAUUCGGAUUCACUGGGCUUAAAGGGUGCGUAGGCGGCCAUGUAAGUAGGGUGUGAAAUCCCCCGGCUUAACCGGGGAACUGCGCCCUAAACUGUGUGGCUUGAGUGAGAUAGGGGUGUGUGGAACUUCCGGUGGAGCGGUGAAAUGUGUUGAUAUCGGAAGGAACGCCGGUGGCGAAAGCGACACACUGGGUCUCAACUGACGCUGAGGCACGAAAGCCAGGGGAGCGAACAGG
rnacentral:rRNA from 1 species